UCUCCGUAGGUGAACCUGCGGAGGGAUCAUUACUGAGUGAGGGCUACGGUCCGACCUCCAACCCUUUGUGAACCAAACUUGUUGCUUCGGGGGCGACCCUGCCGCUUCGGCGGUGCGGCGCCCCCGGAGGCCAUUAAACACUGCAUCAUUGCGUCGGAGUAAAAGUAAAUUAAACAAAACUUUCAACAACGGAUCUCUUGGUUCCAGCAUCGAUGAAGAACGCAGCGAAAUGCGAUAAGUAAUGUGAAUUGCAGAAUUCAGUGAAUCAUCGAAUCUUUGAACGCACAUUGCGCCCUCUGGUAUUCCGGGGGGCAUGCCUGUUCGAGCGUCAUUUCACCACUCAAGCCUGGCUUGGUAUUGGGCGUCGCGGCUCCGCGCGCCUUAAAGUCUUCCGGCUGAGCUGUCCGUCUCUAAGCGUUGUGGCAACUAUUCGCUUCGGAGGUCGGGUGGCCGCGGCCGUUAAAUCUUUCACAAGGUUGACCUCGGAUCAGGUAGGGAUACCCGCUGAACUUAA
rnacentral:rRNA from 1 species